rnacentral:tRNA from 1 species
AGCUCAGUUGGUUAGAGCAUUACCGCUCUCUAUGACCCACGCCAAAAUCGGUGGUUCGAAUCCACUCGGUC